rnacentral:rRNA from 1 species
GUGGGGAAUAUUGGACAAUGGGCGAAAGCCUGAUCCAGCCAUGCCGCGUGUGUGAAGAAGGUCUCCGGAUUGUAAAGCACUUUAAGUUGGGAGGAAGGGCAGUAAGUUAAUACCUUGCUGUUUUGACGUUACCGACAGAAUAAGCACCGGCUAACUUCGUGCCAGCAGCCGCGGUAAUACGAAGGGUGCAAGCGUUAAUCGGAAUUACUGGGCGUAAAGCGCGCGUAGGUGGUUUUGUAAGUUGGAGGUGAAAUCCCCGGGCUCAACCCUGGAAUUGCUCUCAAAACUGCAAGGCUCGAAUUCGGGAGAGGAUAGCGGAAUUGUCAGUGUAGCAGUGAAAUGCGUAGAUAUUGACAGGAACACCAGUGGCGUAAGCGGCUAUCUGGACCGAUAUUGACGCUGAGGCACGAAAGCGUGGGGAUCAAACAGGAUUAGAUACCCUGGUAGUCC